GCUGCGCUGGCAUAAUGGCUUUUCGCAGUCCCAGACAAGCCCCGCUGAUGUCAAGGCUUGCUAUUUUGCAGAGGCCAGAAGCCUCCUGCAACUUCUAGGCGGCGACAACUGCUACCUUGCCAAGGACUCCAUCGUUUCCCUACGCCCCCUAGGACGUGCCACCCGUCGCCACCGCCCCUCGCCCCCUCCCACGCUUCUCCCGGAGCUCUGCGCGGCGCCGCCGUGGGUCCCAGGGGAGUCUGGAGCACACCUGCAGCAUCGGGCGCCCAGGGGACCAGGACGCGGGGUAGCCGCCUCACCCGGCGCACGGCUGGUGGCGCGCUCCCUUCCGGAUCCCCUUAAGUGAAGAGGCUCGGUCUAGCACCCGGCGAAUAACGUUAUCCAAUUGCUUCCCGUUUUACUCGCAGGCUGGGAGCCGCGAGAGCCAGAGCAUUCCCCUCGCAGUGCUCCAGGGGAGGAGGGAGGCGGGCGGGGACCGGGGGACGGCUGGGCUGCUCCACCUUGCAAGAGGCCAGAGCACCCCGGGCAGAGGCCAGCAGCGACUGUAGCCCCGCAGCAGUGCACCGGGCCGCCCGGAUUCCCGCUAUGGAGAUGGCAGAGGCGGAAUUGCACAAGGAGAGGCUGCAAGCCAUAGCAG